UCCUGGCAAUGUGUUUCAUGUGCUUCUGCAAACCUUCUGGGACAAAAUUUUUCUCACUAGCCAGCUGUGCAGAAAGCAGACUGUGCAAAAUGAUUGUUUGGAGCACAGCAAGUUUUAUGGAACUGGUUUAAAAUGCGCUAUCAAUUAUGAUUAUUCAUUAAUAUGACUAUUCUCAUCACUGUGCAAAAUUAUGCCUUAUGGCUUUGACAGAAGUCCUUCACAGCUGGCCUAGAUGUUCUCAGCUGUGGGGUUCAACAGGGAACCCAGAGCAGUGGAGGGGUAGUUUGGGACGACUUGGAUUUGGGCAAGAGUUUGUGCACAACUUGGUCAGGAGACAGGGUUACUAAAACUGCCUUAAUUGGAUUUUGGAGCCAGACCAAUUUUCUCCCCCUUGUGACUCUGCUUUCUGAUGUUUGGAGGGCACAGGGAAGGCAGGCAGACAGAAGAUGCCUAUUUUAGAAAGCCUCUGUGGGGAACACACACGCUUCAGAGAGGUACACAUUUGUUUCCUCUGACACUGAAUUAAUGGGAAUUGAUGUAUUGAUUCUGCAAUUCUUCUAAAGAUUACUCCACAGUUUGGCAUGUUUCCAAGCUGGUUAGCUGCAAUGUGCACACAGCUCAAGACAGAUAGGUAAUUAUUCUGAUAGGAAUACAGUUGAAAAACUUGUGCUCUGUGAUAUAGAAAACUAUAGCAUUAUGAUCAGGCAAAUAGAAUAGCCAUUCCUUUUUUAUAUUCCAUGUCCAGCUACGUUUUUUGUUGCUGUUUUAAUACAACCAACCAACCCCUCCAAAAUCACAGUUAUGAAGAUAUUUGCCACUAGUACCAAUUAAUUGUGUAGUUUUCAUUUUGUUUUUUUCCUAUUAAUUCGAGGGUACACUUUUCAGAAGAAGUGCAAUCUGCUGUUCUGUGUGCGUGGAGUGGAUAGGAUUAUGGUAGGGCUGUAAUAAAACAAGCUACCACUAUUACUGUUAAGCAGUAAUAACCCAGUCAUUUACCAGCCUCAAGGGUUUAAAUUGACUCUCUUUGUGGAUUUUUCCAUGUUUAACUGUUUAAAUACACUACGUGAUAUGCUCUACUUGCAGACUGUUUGAAUAUCUCUGCUAAGUGAGCUCCUGGUCCCAGAUAUGAGGCAGCAUCUUGUGCUGGGGAUGAAGUAACUGCCUUGCAUUCUGGUGCUUUGAUCAGUGUCACAGCUUUUAUGAUCUCACUAGGAAAGUUACUUGAUGUUUCUUUAUUGUGAGUGUCAGCAUGGUUCCUGAAAAUGGUUGAAGCCAUCCCAGUACAUCAUUUAUUUUCUGGCAAAGCAGCAUCCAUCUGCAGUUUAAGAAUAGAGCAUGUUAAAACUGCAUAUAAAUCCAAAGCACAGAACGUAGAGUUUCUGGGCAAAAUUUUCCUCCUGGUCGCACUUACGGAACUCUGGAGUCGUGUCUUCAUCUUUCUGGUUGUUACUCAUUACCCAUUCUCAUUUCCUCGUGUCAGACCCAAAGCUUCUGCCAUAUACGGAUGAAAGCGAUUUCAUCACAACUGUUGUAAUUUCCUAGGGAAGCGUACAAUUUCUGAGGAAGUACCAAAGAUGAUCUGCAGUACAUGGGCGUAGGUGCUCUAAGAGAUGUGAUGCUGUCAGUCGUUCUGUUUGUAGUUUUCCACGCAAACAAAACUAUGAUGUAGGUGGAACUGCUGAACUAUCUGGAGCACAAGUGGGGAAUCUGCAGUGUAUGGCUGAGCCCAUUUUUAGAAAAUACUGUUCAGCAGCUCUUUCUUUAAACAAAGGAAUAGCUGGCUGUCAGUUGUUUGAUAUUUAUUUUUGUGUAACUCUGUUCCUGGUCUGCUCGUGCUAUAGAAAUGCUGUUCUUCCACAAGAAGACAGAUUGCCUGGGCUGGGAACUCCACUUCUGAUUCAGGGAAGCACAUGGUUUUCUUACAGUGCUGCUGAUGAUUAUAAUUACUAUUUAGUAUAUGGUGCAAUUGUUUUUGGUGUUUAAAACAGAGCAAAACAAAGCAGUUUUGCAAAGGAAAGCACAGCAUUAGGAAAAAAAAAAAUGGCAAAUUAGGAAGUGGUUGACUGUAGGGAGGAAACUUCAUCUGCAGUUUUGCUAUCCAGUGCUCCCUGUGAUCACAACGUGCAAAGAGAAACAUCCCUUAAGUAUCCCAGUAGCCCUUUGGAAAAUAAUGUCCUUCCCGUUCUGUAGGUAUUGCAAUUUAUAUCUUCUGUUCAGCAGCUGCUGGUGUCAAAGGCCAAGGGAGAAGGACAUGGAAUGCAGAGCCUGAAGUUUUUCAGCAGUAGCUAAAGGCAAAACCAUCGAAAGCUGUAGCAGAUGUUCCCUUAUUUCCUGUCUGCUUAUCAGCCCUGCAAAGACACUUCUUCUUUGUGCUUGUUGUGCCGAGUGUAACUAUGGAGAGCUAAUACAAGCUGCGCAAGAGCGAUAACGUGAAUGGUUCUUUACGUAUCUGGUUAUGAAUGAUCAAGCAAAAAAUUAUGGUUUCUAAGAACUCCCUCAAAGUUUUCUGCACACACAGUCAUCGUAGCCCUCUCAAAAGAAAGCGGCAGUGCACAAAAUAAUUAAAGAAAUAGUACAUUAUUGCUGCUCCAUAAGGAAUUAUUAAAUAUGAUUACUGAAUUGUUGCUCCUCAUUCAGCCCUGCCCUUCCAGCUGGGAGGGUUACACCAGCUGAACUGUAGUUGUGUGCCAUGCUUGAUGGUGUUUGUAGUCUUUACUUUAAAACAAAAGUAAAUUAGUAUCAUAGAAUCAAGGAAUCCUUAGAGUUGGAAGGGACCUUCUGACUGGACCGUCUAGGAUCUGCUGGGAUACAUUUCUGUGGUGCCUUGUAUGACAGCUGAGUGAAGACAUUAGUUUGGCCUCAGCACGUUCGUGUUUUGCUGGUUAUUCCCAGUACACAAGAAAGAAGAGCAGCAUAUCCUGUCAGUAUCACUUGGAGGUGAGCACAGUUCUUCGGGUGAGUUCUGGGAUUGGAUGCAGUAAACAUUCUCAAAAAGCUAGAUAUUGCUUCUGUGACUGGGUAAGGGAAUUUUCAGGUGAAGCAUUCAAAAUAAGGAGCAAUGUUUAGAAUUAGACUGUAAAGGAUGACAUAGUGGAAAAGUGGAUAGAUGAGAUGGCUUAACAGGGCUUCAUUGUGGUCAAAUUAAUUCGGUUUAAAUAAUUAAUUCUCUUUUAAAUUGACUCUAGCCUGCACGCUUGACAUUUUGGAAGAGCUGCCAUUCCCUGUCCUUCUGCUCCAGGCUGCUCGUGCUGAAGGUGGCAGAGCUAUUAUGGCAGAUGGAUUCAAACAGGAGGACUCAAGAGUUCUGCAUGCAUGAGGGGUCUGCUGAGGGUAAACUGGGUGUGCUGGACCAAACCCUGGGUGAGCUCAGAAAAGGGCAGAAGCACGAUGUGACCUAUAUUCUCGGAGAGGAGGUGUGGCAUCACUUGCUUGAUACCCAACACGCAGCAACACAGCAAAGCUUGAUGUUAACUGCUUUAUGAUGCACAGUCCUACAUCUUCAGAUGCACGCUUUGAAAUUCUGAGGAAGAAAAGCACCACUGAAAACUGAAAAGAUGAUGAGUUUGCAUCUUUUUUUUUUUUUUUUAAUAUAUGGAAAGUAUUUAGAAACAUUUGGGUCUCCUCUUUGGGAAAGUUUUCUUUCCUUUUUGCUUCCCAGCAUUUCUGAGCUUUCGGGAAUGCAAAUUUUCACAUAAAUAGUGGGCAAUAAACCCUUGCUGAGAAAAUCUACCUGCUGGAGAAAAAAUCUGCUCGUUUUAUCCAAGUGGAAUGCCUACACACUGCAGUUAGAGUUUAUCCUUGCUCAUAUAUGACAGAAUUCUCUGUUUGCAUUUUGUGAAUUGCAGUUCAUGACACACAUGAUUCUGAUUCCUAAGGAACCCCCCUGCAGUGCUUCUGCUGAGCUCAGUGACCGCUGGAUCAGGCCCUGUGUUUGCUUCAUUUCCCCAUAUUUCUAUCUGCUUCACUAAGUACUUUAUCUAGAGAAGGGUCUGAGUCUUCUUUUUUGCAUACAUGCAUGAUAUUUUAUUGCCUCUUCUAUAAUUUACAACCAUUAGUUUCCCUGGAGUGCAAAAGCUUUUCGGAAGGACUAUACUUGAAGCAGUAAAAGGAAGGAUAACUGCACCAUUGUAGUGCUGCAUCAUAACAUUUAAAUACAUUAUUAUUUCAUAAUCUGUCCUAGAGCUUAAUCAUUGCAGGCAGGGACAGUCUCUCUAUGUCAGAAGGGAUAGAAUCCAGAUUUUCAAAUAAGCAUACAUUAAAAAAAAAUAAUAAUAAAUAAAUAAAUAAUGCUGCUUCCAGUGUGAUUCCAGCUUGCCAAAGACUCCAUUUCAUUGCAUAAGCCUCUGGAUGUAGAUCUAUUACUGUAUCAUAAAGUGGGUUACUGGACAGGGUAAGACAAUCCAUCCUCUGAAAUGCAGACUGUUGCUUUGCCAGUUACAUGGUUUAUACUUACCCACUAUCAUUACAUUUAUAGUUAUUUUUGCCAAUGCUACAGAUGUGCCAUGUCUUUUUGGAAGACAUUCUCUUGGCUUCUUUUGGAGUCUCAUUCUUCCUCCAUGAAGAUGUGAGUGAGCAGAGCACACAGCACAGCCAAAUGAAUUCAAAAUGAAUAAAAUUGGUAAGAAAAUGGGCAAAUUAAGUCCUGGAUUGCUUACUUAAGUAACUGAAGUAGUUUUGCCUAUGGAAGCCAGUUUCUGCCAGGAAAUAGUGGAAUAAUAAUAGCUUUUAAUUUUUUUUUUUUUUUCUGAGCACUCUUGAAGCCUCAUGAAUUAUAAGCAGUCAGAUCUCACAGUCCCAAGACAAAGUCUGUUAAAACCAUGUCCUAGGACAGAGAAAUUCUCAAUUCCAUUCCUGGCACUGUCUCUGACCAUCUGUCGCUUGUCCUCUGCCUUGCUUCAGUUUACCCAUGUGUAAAAAGCACUUAAAAUAAACAAAACCAGGCUUUGAAAAUAACUUCAUUACUACAAGCUAGAAAUUCAGAGGUUGCAACAUGGGAAAAAAUGGUUCUGUGGUUGCCAGUCCACAGAAGCCCUGCAAGUCCCCCUGGGGAAGCUAAAUCCGACUGACAGCUCUCCACCCCAUACUUGAGAGGACACCACGUUGAGCAUCACAGUGCUGCCCACCUGCAAUACAUAUGGUGGUUGUCUCAUUCAAUUGUCUUCCAAUGCAUGCUAAGAAUCUGAUCCAACACUGACUGCAAUA